UACGUAUGGUGCAAGCGUUAUCCGGAUUUACUGGGUGUAAAGGGAGCGUAGGCGGUUUUAUAAGUCUGAUGUGAAAGCCCGGGGCUCAACCCCGGGACUGCAUUGGAAACUGUAGAACUAGAGUGUCGGAGGGGUAAGUGGAAUUCCUAGUGUAGCGGUGAAAUGCGUAGAUAUUAGGAGGAACACCAGUGGCGAAGGCGGCUUACUGGACGAUUACUGACGCUGAGGCUCGAAAGCGUGGGGAGCAAACAGG
rnacentral:rRNA from 1 species